rnacentral:rRNA from 1 species
UGCGUAGGCGGCCUGACAAGUCAGAGUUGAAAGGCUACGGCUUAACCGUAGUAAGCCUUUGAAACUGACAGGCUUGAGUGCAGGAGAGGAAAGUGGAAUUCCUAGUGUAGCGGUGAAAUGCGUAGAUAUUAGGAGGAACACCAGUGGCGAAGGCGACUUUCUGGACUGUAACUGACGCUGAGGCACGAAAGCGUGGGGAGCGAACAGGAUUAGAUACCCUGGUAGUCC